rnacentral:tRNA from 1 species
CUACAUGAUAAAAUAUGUAUCACAAGUACAAGGGCUAUAGCUCAGUUAGGUAGAGCACCUCGUUUACACACCGAGA